rnacentral:rRNA from 1 species
UACGAAGGGGGGCUAGCGUUGUUCGGAAUUACUGGGCGUAAAGCGUGCGCAGGCGGCUUCUCAAGUCAGGGGUGAAAGCCCAGAGCUCAACUCUGGAAUUGCCUUUGAGACUGAGUGGCUUGAGUACGAGAGAGGUGAGUGGAAUUCCCAGUGUAGAGGUGAAAUUCGUAGAUAUUGGGAAGAACACCGGUGGCGAAGGCGGCUCACUGGCUCGUAACUGACGCUCAUGCACGACAGCCGUGGGGGAUCAAACAGG